rnacentral:lncRNA from 1 species
ACAAGACAAUGCACAUAAUCAUAGUCAUCCUCAAAGUUCCAUUGUGAUGCUGUUGGGAAACCCUGAUCUAAAGAAACAUCAGGCCGGGCGCGGUGGCUCACGCCUGUAUGGGAGGCCGAGGCGGGUGGAUCACGAGGUCAGGAGAUCGAGACCACGGUGAAACCCCGUCUCUACUAAAAAUACAAAAAAAAUUUUAGCCGGGCGCGGUGGCGGGCGCCUGUAGCCCCAGCUACUCGGGAGGCUGAGCCAGGAGAAUGGCGUGAACCCGGGAGGCAGAGCUUGCAGUGAGCCGAGAUCGUGCCACGGCACUCCAGCCUGGGCAACAGAGCGAGACUCCAUCUUAAAAAAAAAAAAGAAACAUCAGUGGAAGAGGAAGAAACUGCAGGUACAGGAAUAAACUUACGUGAUCCUCAUUUCAAGGAGAAGAAGGAGAAGUUGAAGAAGGAGGAGAAGGAGAAGGAUGAGAAGAAAAACAAGAAGAGGAAGGAGAAGGAGGAGGAAAAUGAGAAGGAGAAGAAGAGAAGGAACAGCAGCAGUUGCAGGAGGAGGAGAAAGAGGAGGAGGAGGAGAACGGAGUGUGCAGAAGCUGGGGGGGAUUCCAAUGUUGGAAGCAUUUUUAGCAUACAACAACAUCCAAGUGGAUUACUAUGAAUGCCUAGACCUCUAUGGCAAACAGUACUUAUACUAUUAUGAAACGGUCAAGAGAUGA